GGAACAGAUGGGCACUGGCAUCUACACGGCCAAGUGGUUCCUUCAGUGCUUCAUCGACCGGAACCCCUUCUCGCUCACCCUGAAGCUCUGGGACGCCUACAUCCUGGACGGGGAGCGCGUGCUCACGGCUAUGGCCUACACCGUCCUCAAGGUGCACAGCAAACGCCUCCUGAAGCUGCCCCUGGAAGGUCUUUGGGAGUUUCUCCAGG